rnacentral:rRNA from 1 species
GAUGAACGCUGGCGGCGUGCCUAAUACAUGCAAGUCGAGCGAACGGACGAGAAGCUUGCUUUUCUGAUGUUAGCGGCGGACGGGUGAGUAACACGUGGAUAACCUACCUAUAAGACUGGGAUAACUUCGGGAAACCGGAGCUAAUACCGGAUAAUAUUUUGAACCGCAUGGUUCAAAAGUGAAAGACGGUCUUGCUGUCACUUAUAGAUGGAUCCGCGCUGCAUUAGCUAGUUGGUAAGGUAACGGCUUACCAAGGCAACGAUGCAUAGCCGACCUGAGAGGGGGGUAGACCACACAGAAACGGAGAGACGGACCGGACAAAUACGGACGGCAGGAAGAGGGAAGGAAUAGCGAUGAACGGAGGAAUGACGGAGCAAGGCAAGGUGAGUGAUGAAAGAAUUCGGAUAGGAAAACAAUGUUAUUAAGGAAGAACAUAAGUGUAAGUAAGUGUGCAGAGCUUGAAGGUAGCUAAAGAGAAAGCAACGGCUAACUACGUG